rnacentral:rRNA from 1 species
UAGGGAAUCUUCGGCAAUGGACGAAAGUCUGACCGAGCAACGCCGCGUGAGUGAAGAAGGUUUUCAGAUCGUAAAACUCUGUUGGUAGAGAAGAACGUUGGUGAGAGUGGAAAGCUCAUCAAGUGACGGUAACUACCCAGAAAGGGACGGCUAACUACGUGCCAG